rfam:Aedes aegypti strain Liverpool supercont1.721 genomic scaffold, whole genome shotgun sequence.
GCUCCGUAGCUUGUAGGUUAAAGCGCCUAUCUAGCGGAUAGGAAGUCGUGGGUUCGAUCCCCACAGAAGCA